UACGUAGGGCGCAAGCGUUAUCCGGAAUUAUUGGGCGUAAAGAGCUCGUAGGCGGUCUGUUGCGUCGGCUGUGAAAACCCGGGGCUCAACUCCGGGCCUGCAGCCGAUACGGGCAGACUAGAGUUCGGCAGGGGAGACUGGAAUUCCUGGUGUAGCGGUGAAAUGCGCAGAUAUCAGGAGGAACACCAAUGGCGAAGGCAGAUCUCUGGGCCGUAACUGACGCUGAGGAGCGAAAGCAUGGGGAGCGAACAGG
rnacentral:rRNA from 1 species